rnacentral:rRNA from 1 species
UACGAAGGGGGCUAGCGUUGCUCGGAAUCACUGGGCGUAAAGCGAACGUAGGCGGAUCUUUAAGUCAGGGGUGAAAUCCCAAGGCUCAACCUUGGAACUGCCUUUGAUACUGGGGAUCUCGAGUCCGGAAGAGGUGAGUGGAACUGCGAGUGUAGAGGUGAAAUUCGUAGAUAUUCGCAAGAACACCAGUGGCGAAGGCGGCUCACUGGUCCGGUACUGACGCUGAGGUGCGAAAGCGUGGGGAGCAAACAGG